UACGUAGGGGGCAAGCGUUAUCCGGAAUUACUGGGUGUAAAGGGAGCGUAGACGGUGAAGUAAGUCUGGAGUGAAAGGCGGGGGCCCAACCCCCGGACUGCUCUGGAAACUAUUUGACUGGAGUGCAGGAGAGGUAAGCGGAAUUCCUAGUGUAGCGGUGAAAUGCGUAGAUAUUAGGAGGAACACCAGUGGCGAAGGCGGCUUACUGGACUGUAACUGACGUUGAGGCUCGAAAGCGUG
rnacentral:rRNA from 1 species